AUUGAACGCUGGCGGCAUGCCUUACACAUGCAAGUCGAACGGUAACAGGUCUUCGGAUGCUGACGAGUGGCGAACGGGUGAGUAAUGCAUCGGAACGUGCCUAGUUGUGGGGGAUAACUGCUCGAAAGAGCAGCUAAUACCGCAUACGACCUGAGGGUGAAAGCGGGGGAUCGGAAGACCUCGCGCCAUGGGAGCGGACGAUGUCAGAUUAGGUAGUGUGUGGGGUAAAGGCCUACCAAGCCGACGAUCUGUAGUUGGUCUGAGAGGACGACCAGCCACACUGGGACUGAGCCACGGCCCAGACUCCUACGGGAGGCAGCAGUGGGGAAUUUUGGACAAUGGGCGCAAGCCUGAUCCAGCAAUGCCGCGUGCAGGAAGAUGGCCUUCGGGUUGUAAACUGCUUUUGUCAGGGAAGAAAUCCUCUGGGUUAAUACCCCGGGGGGAUGACGGUACCUGAAGAAUAAGCACCGGCUAACUACGUGCCAGCAGCCGCGGUAACAC
rnacentral:rRNA from 1 species